GCCGCUUUCGUCUAGUGGUUUAGGACACGAGCUUCUCAAGUUCGGAACAUGGGUUCGAUUCCCAUAAGCGGCA
rnacentral:tRNA from 1 species